UACGUAGGGACCGAGCGUUGUCCGGAUUCAUUGGGCGUAAAGAGCUCGUAGGCGGCUAUUCAAGUCGAACGUGAAAUCUCGGAGCUCAACUCCGAAACUGCGUUCGAUACUGGGUAGCUAGAGUCUGGUAGGGGGAUCUGGAAUUCCAGGUGUAGCGGUGAAAUGCGUAGAUAUCUGGAGGAACACCGGUGGCGAAGGCGGCAUCCUGGACCGGCAUUGACGCUGAAUAGCGAAAGCCAGGGGAGCAAACGGG
rnacentral:rRNA from 1 species